rnacentral:lncRNA from 1 species
GGCUCUCAGGCCAGCUGUGCUCCUUCCCUUCCCCUGACUGCUUCAGCUAUGCCACUUACUGUCCGACAACUGCUCCACUAUUUUAUGGCCCAAUUUCCAUUCACUUUCUCUAGUCUUCUCUAAGUCUGUGUGAGUAUAAGUUCAUUAGCAUAAGUUAAAAUUAUUGUCCUUGCGAUUAAUCGCUAAUUCAGAGAAUGUUUGUCUUCUUUACAAAUUAUGUAAGCCCCCAAGAAUAUAAAAAUGAUAUUCCCUCAGUAUGUUCUACUGUGGGGAAUAAGAAGUACUGAGACACAUCCAACUUUUGGCUCAUGCAUUCAUUACUGCGCCUUAACCAAAAUAUGUGGCCAUUUUUCUCAGCAGAGACAUGAAUAGAACAUAAUACUAACUCCUUUUGUUGAAAGGGUAUUUGGCUAUGGAAAAGAGAGAUCAAAUGCAAAAGCUGACUAAGAGCAUAAAAAGUUGCUGUCACUUCUGAUGGAGACAUAUGCAGUAUUUUUCAUUUUAAAAGUGUCCCCCAAAAAAAUGAAUGAAAGGAGUCACAACUAGUAAACUCAACUGUACAUCCACUAAUUACAUUCUGUUUCAGGUACUUAUAUAACUGUAAGGAUGUGAUACUACGAAGGAACACAGCGGGAAGCCUGGGCUUCUGCAUUGUGGGAGGUUAUGAAGAAUACAGUGGUAACCAACCUUUUUUUAUCAAAUCCAUCGUCGAGGGAACACCCGCGUAUAAUGAUGGAAGAAUUAGAUGUGGUGACAUUCUUCUUGCUGUCAACGGCAGAAGCACGUCGGGGAUGAUGCACGCCUGCUUAGCGAGGAUGCUCAAAGAACUCAAAGGGAAAAUUACUCUCACCAUUGCUUCCUGGCCUGGUACUUUUUUAUAAAACCAAUGAUGGAUCUUAGAAAAACCACAAAUAGGCUAGAUAAAAUUGUAUUUAUCUUGUCGAUUUUUAUAUUUAAAGAAUAUAUUGUAAAAAAAAAAAGCCAGAAAAAGUAUGACUUAUGAAAACAAGUUACACAUCAGAGAAUGUUCUCAAAAAUAAAAACUAAUGUUAAUUUUUAUUUGGUGUGGAGGAUUUCUCAUCACUCCAAAUCUUUUAAGUUUCUAUUUUUUUAAUUCAAUAAAAAGCCCAUAAAAACUUACAUGGUUUGUAUGCCACACUUAAUUCAAGGCAACGUCAAAUGUGGUAGAAGUGGAGUUGAAGACACAGCACAUUAUGGCCAUUUCAGUUUAAUGGCGGAGGAUUUGAACAAGAGAUGAAUAUCUUCUUCUAAGUGACCGCAGUCCUCUUACUGGUGGCUCUAACUGCCUCGUCCUUUCACACACAUUCCCAGCCCCACCGCUGCUCUGGAACCUUCUUGGGGUUAGUCCAGAUUUUAACCUGGAGUUCUGGUUUUAGUAAGAAUGACUGAUCUGACACUACUCUCA